rnacentral:rRNA from 1 species
GACGAACGCUGGCGGCGUGCCUAAUACAUGCAAGUCGAACGCAGUGGGGACGGGUGAGUAACACGUGGGUAACCUCCCAUCAGAGGGGAUAACACUUGGAAACAGGUGCUAAACCGAUACUGAUUGAUGGACCCGCGGGGCAUUAGCUAGUGGGUGGGGUAACGGCGCACCAAGGCCACGAUGCAUAGCGGACCUGAGAGGGUGAGCGGCCACACUGGGACUGAGACACGGCCCAGACUCCUACGGGAGGCAGCAGUAGGGAAUCUUCGGCAAUGGACGAAAGUCUGACCGAGCCACGCCGCGUGAGUGAAGAAGGUUUUCGGAUCGUAAAGCUCUGUCGUUAGAGAAGCGGUAUCUAACCAGAAAGCACCGGCUAACUACGUGCCAGCAGCCGCGGUAAUAC